AGAGUUUGAUCAUGGCUCAGAUUGAACGCUGGCGGCAGGCCUAACACAUGCAAGUCGAGCGGUAGCACAGAGAGCUUGCUCUCGGGUGACGAGCGGCGGACGGGUGAGUAAUGUCUGGGAAACUGCCUGAUGGAGGGGGAUAACUACUGGAAACGGUAGCUAAUACCGCAUAACGUCGCAAGACCAAAGUGGGGGACCUUCGGGCCUCAUGCCAUCAGAUGUGCCCAGAUGGGAUUAGCUAGUAGGUGGGGUAACGGCUCACCUAGGCGACGAUCCCUAGCUGGUCUGAGAGGAUGACCAGCCACACUGGAACUGAGACACGGUCCAGACUCCUACGGGAGGCAGCAGUGGGGAAUAUUGCACAAUGGGCGCAAGCCUGAUGCAGCCAUGCCGCGUGUGUGAAGAAGGCCUUCGGGUUGUAAAGCACUUUCAGCGGGGAGGAAGGCGNNNNNNNNNNNNNNNNNNNNNNNNNNNNNCGAUUGACGUUACCCGCAGAAGAAGCACCGGCUAACUCCGUGCCAGCAGCCGCGGUAAUACGGAGGGUGCAAGCGUUAAUCGGAAUUACUGGGCGUAAAGCGCACGCAGGCGGUCUGUCAAGUCGGAUGUGAAAUCCCCGGGCUCAACCUGGGAACUGCAUUCGAAACUGGCAGGCUAGAGUCUUGUAGAGGGGGGUAGAAUUCCAGGUGUAGCGGUGAAAUGCGUAGAGAUCUGGAGGAAUACCGGUGGCGAAGGCGGCCCCCUGGACAAAGACUGACGCUCAGGUGCGAAAGCGUGGGGAGCAAACAGGAUUAGAUACCCUGGUAGUCCACGCCGUAAACGAUGUCGAUUUGGAGGUUGUGCCCUUGAGGCGUGGCUUCCGGAGCUAACGCGUUAAAUCGACCGCCUGGGGAGUACGGCCGCAAGGUUAAAACUCAAAUGAAUUGACGGGGGCCCGCACAAGCGGUGGAGCAUGUGGUUUAAUUCGAUGCAACGCGAAGAACCUUACCUGGUCUUGACAUCCACAGAACUUNNNNNNNNNNNUUGGUGCCUUCGGGAACUGUGAGACAGGUGCUGCAUGGCUGUCGUCAGCUCGUGUUGUGAAAUGUUGGGUUAAGUCCCGCAACGAGCGCAACCCUUAUCCUUUGUUGCCAGCGGUCCGGCCGGGAACUCAAAGGAGACUGCCAGUGAUAAACUGGAGGAAGGUGGGGAUGACGUCAAGUCAUCAUGGCCCUUACGACCAGGGCUACACACGUGCUACAAUGGCAUAUACAAAGAGAAGCGACCUCGCGAGAGCAAGCGGACCUCAUAAAGUAUGUCGUAGUCCGGAUUGGAGUCUGCAACUCGACUCCAUGAAGUCGGAAUCGCUAGUAAUCGUAGAUCAGAAUGCUACGGUGAAUACGUUCCCGGGCCUUGUACACACCGCCCGUCACACCAUGGGAGUGGGUUGCAAAAGAAGUAGGUAGCUUAACCUUCGGGAGGGCGCUUACCACUUUGUGAUUCAUGACUGGGGUGAAGUCGUAACAAGGUAACCGUAGGGGAACCUGCGGUUGGAUCACCU
rnacentral:rRNA from 1 species